UGGUUUAGUGGAGAAUAUUGAUGCUUAUUGAAUAUGCACAUUUUACCACGCAGACCUCCAUGUGUGAAAUAGAGGCGCUAGAAAUGCGCUAAUGCCAUUGGUCGACUGAACGAUCCGCUAGACGCUUCUUGCAUUCUGAUUGGCUGAGAUCUAUUUCCAUUAUGAAAGCCCACGGGAUCUCCAGCCGUCCAUCAAGAGCUUCAUGAGCUCCUCACACGGUGUGACGGAUUUCAGCAGCCUCACAGAACCGACAUGAACCGAGUGGAAUUUCUCGAAAAGGGGAUUUAAUCGUUAAAUUGUUGCGUUAAUUGCUUUUUUUUUUCGCAGUGUACGUUCAUUGACCACUGUUUUAAUUACAAAGGAAUAUCCUAAUUAUAGGAGAAGAAAGAGAAAGGUAGAUGAACACCGAGCUGCAUCUGCUGCAUGUCCUCCAUCACGGACUUCAAGAGCACCGGUGGGGGCGCAGCUGACCAUGACUUCAUUUCAUUUUUUUGCUUUCUCUGCUGUUAUUCGUGUCUGUAUGUCUUAAGGGGUAAAAAUGGAAAUGACAGCACUAUGUACUAUACCCCCCCCUCCUCCUCCUCCUCCUCCUGUUCUUCCUCCGCUAUGUGGAUUAAUGAUUUUGGUUUCCUGCUCUGCGCUUUGAGCCUCUUUACAAUGCUGCCUUGUGGCAUCGGAAUCAAGCAGCAUUGUACAGGGCUAUGAGAGCACAGAGACCAAAUACAUCACCGUCCUCCGUCCUUCAUCCUCACAGUGUCAAUGUGGCACCGUCUAAUGAGAGAUCAACCACCGGCUCCUUCCCUGAGAUCCGUCCAGAACUGUGCUGCAACCAAGAACAACAACUUCAAGGAAUAAUCUGUUUGGGAUUUUUUUGCUUUGAUGCCACUUUUUCAAUGUAAUCUGUAUUUAAUGCACCAGCAUCCAGCCUGGUUUGUUAUCAUCGUCAGGGAUCAACAUAGAUCCAGGUCUCAGCUUUGUAUUCCAUCUUGUUGGAUUUUGACUGGUUUAUAUGCUGAAGUGUUUAUAUACCUCUUUAGAUGCAGAAUACAGCCUUUUUAAUACAGUCAGUGACCUAUAGACGUAACCAGAUCCUUAUUUUAGUUUGUAAUGUACAUUGUUUUUUUUUUUAUUAUUUAUUUAUUUAUAUUUAUUUAUUUAUUUAUUUUGCUGUCACUUCAGUCAUUAAAAUAUCAUUACAUCAUUUCA